rnacentral:tRNA from 1 species
GCCUGGGUGGCUCAGGGGUUGAGCAUCUGCCUUUGGCUCAGGUCAUGUUCCUGGGGUCCUGGGAUCGAGUCCCACUUCGGGCU